UGCAAGUCGAACGGUAACAGGGAGCUUGCUCCGCUGACGAGUGGCGAACGGGUGAGUAAUGUAUCGGAACGUACCUUUCAGUGGGGGAUAACGUAGCGAAAGUUACGCUAAUACCGCAUAUUCUGUGAGCAGGAAAGCAGGGGAUCGCAAGACCUUGCGCUGAUUGAGCGGCCGAUAUCAGAUUAGCUAGUUGGUGAGGUAAAGGCUCACCAAGGCGACGAUCUGUAGCGGGUCUGAGAGGAUGAUCCGCCACACUGGAACUGAGACACGGUCCAGACUCCUACGGGAGGCAGCAGUGGGGAAUUUUGGACAAUGGGGGCAACCCUGAUCCAGCCAUGCCGCGUGAGUGAAGAAGGCCUUCGGGUUGUAAAGCUCUUUCGGCCGGGAAGAAAUCGUAUGGGUUAAUACCCUGUGCGGAUGACGGUACCGGCAUAAGAAGCACCGGCUAACUACGUGCCAGCAGCCGCGGUAAUACGUAGGGUGCGAGCGUUAAUCGGAAUUACUGGGCGUAAAGCGUGCGCAGGCGGUUUUGUAAGACAGGCGUGAAAUCCCCGGGCUCAACCUGGGAACUGCGCUUGUGACUGCAAGGCUAGAGUAUGGCAGA
rnacentral:rRNA from 1 species